rnacentral:lncRNA from 1 species
GCCAGUCUGAGGCAGGUGCCCGACAUGGCGAGUGCUGUGCUGCCGAGCGGGUCCCAGUGUGCGGCGGCGGUGGCGGCGGUGGCGGCGGCGGCGGCGCCUCCCGGGCUCCGACUCCGGCUUCUGCUGUUGCUCCUCUCCGCCGCGGCCCUGAUCCCCACAGGUAAGUGGCCAUCUUAUGCUUGGAUACAUCAACUUCAGAACGGAUGGAUGUGUAAGGCUCCAUCCCUUGUCUCUGAUGCUGUGGUUGUAAGUUAUGGUUGAGAUAUGUUCUCUGGUUUGGUGUGGCAAAAGGGAUUGUCUUUUGACAAAAGAAGCUAGAUCAUUUCCUGUAAAUCCUUUGCCUUUUAACUUGCUACAUGUGUUUUGUCAAGAACACUUUGUAUAUGUCAUUUCUGAGAUUACACAGGAGAACAGAAAGACAUGGUUCCUGCUUUCAGGAAGACUGGAUUUUGGUAUAGCAGAAAAGAUCAUGGGUUUUGGCGUUGUAUUGAGUUUAACUUCUACUCUUCUAUUACUAAUUGUUGGAUAUCUUUUUCUUCCUCUAUUUCUUUAUUUCUCAAGUGGGUAUAAUGAUGCCUACCUUGUAGAUUGCUGGGAGGAUAAACACAGGUAAUUCUGUGCUUAUCAAACUGUUCCAAUAUAUGGAUUUUUCCCUCAUUUCAUCUUUUCAACUCCAGCUCUUCAUCCAGGAGGAAACAGCAAGGUCUAGAAAGCAGGGCAAUAGAGACCAGCUCUCUUCCUCUUAUCUGAAGAGUCUUUGGCUGAGAUUUAGGAAAUCUGGGAGACCAGGCACCAAAGGAUUUCGUGAAGGAAUCUGUAGUGAGUCUUAAGAAGGCACUUUCCCAAAGCCACAGACAUCCCCUUGAAUUUCAUAGUUAUGUUGGAAAAGCUUAGAUAAGUGCAGCUUAGGUAUUGGUUCACAAGUGGCUCUAGGAAUUCCCAUGAAUAUGCUAGUACAUUAUGUUGGGAAAGUGUUCCUUGGUUUAAUCUAAAAUGGAAUUCAAACAAAUGACUAAAGAAUGUAAGCUGAGGUCUUUUGAUCUCAUGUGAUUCUUUAAAUAAUUGUCCCAUUGUUGUGUCCAAAGUUAUCUAGCCAUCUAGCAUAGUAAACAGAUGAGCCGAUAGUCACUGAGAAGGGGAAGUAUACACAGUCUGGUUUGGAAAGUGGGAAGAGAACAGGGUCAGAGUUGGAAAAACAUAUAUCAGAAAGGCAGAGGGAAACACAGGCAUAUGGGUAGUGUGGCUUGCACGGCUCAGGUACCUCUUACCCAUGGCAAAGGCCUAACUAGAAAUGUCCGUCUCCAAGGAAAGGCUGGGGCCAAGGGAGACUACAGUUCAUUGCACAUUCAGAGAUUAAAAUAUCUCUAAAUUAGUUCCAGUGAAUCAUUUUAAAUUAUUUUAAAAGCUCUUUAUAUUUUAAUCAGAGCCUAUUCACGACCAGUUAAUUUGGAUGGCACGUUCUAAAAUUACUUUCCUCCAAUGAUGUGUUGUACCAUUGCCUUAGAAUGCAGAAGCCUCAUGGAAGAGGGGAGUGGAGAAGUCUGAAAGUACCAAGGAGCUGUCAGAUGUUCACCAGUUUAAGAGUGGAUUCAGAUUUUGUUCUUGCCACCUGCUUUAGAUGGGGUCAUGUUAACCUUGCUACUUUCACGGAGGCAGCUGAUGAUUCCACAGGAUGCCAGAGGUCUCAUAGUACCCUCAUUUCCCCCCAAAAUUGAGGGAAGACUUUAUGCUCUGGCAUGGCUUAGUACAUGCUUUUGUAUUCGAGUGUAGUCUUUGAUUUAGGGAAGGACUGCUUUAGCAGCCCUGGACGUCUCAAAAUGUGUUUUCACCAUUUUGCUGAUCUCUUCUGCAGUUGGUAAAGUCACGGGCCUUGCUAAGAAAAGUUCUAACUGCCUAGAAUACUUCCUUAGUCAUUAUGGUAAAUCUACUGUCACGUUAGAAGAAAGGCUUUAUCCCUUGUGCGUAUUAGCAGGACCAUUCUACAGUGACCAUUCUACAUCUUGACACGUAGACUUUCCAUGGUGGAGAGAGCAGCGUCCUCUUUGCAGGAAUGGUUUCUUCUACAGUUAAGUUAACUGAGGCAGAGAAACUGGUAAUGUUCAGUAUCACCAUGCUUUUCCCCAGAAAUGUUGGCUCAAGGUACCAGAAUCCAUCUUGGGAUGUUGUAUAUUACCCAUUAGCUCCCAAUCUUCUGCAGGGAAAGAAUUAAAAUAGAAGAAAGGGAUGGACAGGAUGGAUUUUUAAAAUUACAGCACUGAGUAGCAACUGCUAGUCAAGAAUUUUUUUGGCAGUUUGUUAGAAUCUCAUUUUAAAGCAAUAACACACUCAGAGUUGUAUUCAAACACUGAGAUAAAUGCAUCAACCUAAAUUCAUGGUUUUGUUUUUUUCCAUGUCGCUGCUAAUUAUUGAACAUAACGAGGCUUAUUCAUAAUUUCUUUUCUCCUGCUUGAUAGCCGUAAUCCUGCAUUUGUGCUGCUGUCAUUCCCAUGGUAACAGACUACUGUCUGAAGCAUGAGAUUAUUAAAUCCAGAACAGUACAUUAAAAUAAUGCUAAGGUUCUGACUUACAGAGGGACUUUCACACAGGGGCAAACUUCAAAAAAGGGAACACUUCUACAAAAGGCAAUUUACUUGGCCAGUAAUGUUUAGUAUUCCCAUAGCUGUUAUGGAAGAGAUUUGUUUGAAUUAUAGCUUCUUCCUUCCCAGCUCAUCAUCUCCUUUGGCUUUGCAGCCAAGUCUUAAUCUGGUGUUUAUGAUGUCAGUCUGUUACCAUGGGAGUUAUUCUGUCACAGAUGUAUCGUGACUUCGGAGCACGAUGGAGGCAGAAGAAAAUUUAGGGUGAAAGAGAACAACUCAAGUUAAUCUCUAGCAUAUCUGUUCUGCAGAGAAGUAGUCCCUUCACCUUUAUGUGCUGUUUAAAAAAAAAAAAAAAGUUAGUUAAGCCAUACUUUGUACAAGUUUGGCCCUUGAGAAAUGUCACGGAAAUCCCCCAAACGCCAAAA